AUGACCAGUGGGCAGACGACUUUGCCCCUGGAUUUUUCCCCCGGUUACUUUUCUCUUCGGCUUUUGGGGCAGCGAAAUGCCGCUUUUGUCUAUUGCUUCCACGCGUCUGUCAUCGAUGGAUCCUCUAUUUGGACUCUGUGUUCUCGAUUUUUCUUUCGCUUUCCGUUGCUUUCUCACAUCUUUCUCCCAGAUCUCUCUUCUGCUGUUCUUGGGCUUACUAAAUCUCGCCUUCUAUUCCAACAAGUGCGAUCAAUCUUGCCUCUCAAUUCCCUUCAUGAUCCUCAUUUUCCAUGUCUCUGCGCCCAUUCGCCUGAACGAAAACCUGGAUCCAUUGCUUCCUCUGAAAUCAAACCCUAAUUUUGCCCUCAAACGAAUUGGAACGCAGUCAAACUCGAUUUCUAAUUCGAGUUGCGCCGAUUCUAGGGAUCUAAUCUGGCGUUUCCUGGUGAGUUUUGCAUGUUUAUGAGCGUGUAUGAUUUGGGUUAAUAAAUUUCCUUCUCUGUCAACCUCUAUCUGCUUACUUCAACAUUUUUAGUUGGGAAAUUGAAAUAUUGAACUGGAUAAUUGGAAGAUUUGGGUUUCUUUGAACUUCGUAGUCUCAAAAGCAUUUUGGGUUUAAGUUUUAUUAAUUGGUUAGCGAAAAUGGGACACCAGUUCUUCAAAGGCUUCUUUGAAUUGGUGCUGUGAUAUAUGGUAUAGGGUAAUCAGGGUUUCUGGGUAAUUCGGGUUUCUAGGUAAUCAGGGUUUAUGGGUUUCUGUGUAAUCAGGGUUUCUGGGUGUUGUGAUACAUAGUUAGGUAAUCAGUACUAAUAUACGUAAAAGGGGUUUCUGGGUUUCCAUCAAAAUAUAAAAUUGAAGUAAAACACCAGGAAUACAAGUAAAGGAAUGUUGUUCUUGACUGAAUGAAGUUUUGUUCUGGGCUGAGAUUACAAGUGGAAAGUAUAUGGCUUUCGACCAUUUAGGGUUUUAUGAACUGACCUAAGGAGUAAAGCUAAAUAGUUAAGUUCUGUGUUCCUUCAAAAAAAAAAUUUUAAAAAAAACAUGAUUCACUUGCAUCACUUUCUAUAGAAUGUUUCCCAUUUUCAGUUCAUUGUAAAUAAUGCCACUUACUUUAGUUACUUUUCUGUUACAUUUAUAUCCCUCUACAUUUUCUUCUGCGUUGAAACACCUGUAAACCAAUGUUGAACAAUGAUGGCUCCUCUAAAACCCAACUCCUUACAUUGCCAAGAAGGUUUUGGAAUCUGUGUUCUUCAGAUUUCGAAGUUGGACUGAGCUUUUAAAUUCCACAAAAGCAUUUAGCCUUGCGAAGGUAUACUUUUUCCAACUCACCUCUUCCUUUUGUUGCACUAAAUUGGUUGAUUGGGUUCAAAUUGCGAAGAGGAUAAAGUUUAAUUGUGUAAAAAAUAGAGAGAUUGAAUAGUCUGGAAGAUUAGGAAUUGUAACUGCCACCUAUAAGUUGACUGAAGAAGUAGAGCCCACAAUCUAUGGUCAAGACGAAGAUACAAAAAUUUUGAUAAGCAAAUUGGUACGUGAACGAGUAAAGAGUGUUGGGCGCAAUGCUAUAUUCUCAAUUGUUCGGGUGGGGCGAUUGGGGAAAACCACUCUUACCCAGUUAGCAUAUAAUGAUCAAAGUAUCAGAACCCAGCUGGAUUACCCCCUCCGGUUCAUGAAUCCCCAUAUGGAAAAGGACUUGGGCUGAUGCCCCAUCAAGCAUUAGCGAGGACCUCCUCAUAACCUCAGAGAAUAGGCAAGCUCAAUUCGGGCCAGAUUCUGUCAAAUUAGGCAGUAAUUAGCCAUUCGCUCCUAGCCUUCCCUCCCACGUGUUAUAGCAGUUUCAGAUCGAAGCUCCAUCCUCCUUGCUUCAUUUGUAAUACACACAGAGAAGUAAAGGGCAGCAAAUGCUUUUAUACUUCUGCCAGAUUCUAUCCGAUGGGUGAUGAAUCCAUCAGGAUUGGUCGUAACUUUUCCCAAUGGAAUGGACUUACCAGUUAUUUUCGACUUGAAGCAUCGCAGAAUUUGGUUUGGUCAACCUUUAAUGCCUUAUCAUCGGAAUAAGUUAAAGGUGGUACAAUAGUUCUAUCCGAUGAUGGUCGCUAUUUUUCAAAGGAUGCUGUGGAAUUUCAAGAUUGAAAACCGCUGGCUUUCAAUCUUUUUAAACAAGUUACCUUUGUAAGGUAUCAAAACUAUAAUUUUUCUAUAGCAAAUAAAAUUCUUUCCUUCA